rnacentral:rRNA from 1 species
CUUGCAAUGAGAGUUGUGCUAAGGUAGCGCGAUAAUUUGUCUCUUAAUUGGAGAAUGGUAUGAAAGGUUUGACGUAGACCUAUUGUCUCUAAAGAAAAAAAUGAAGUUUCCUUUUAAAUGAAAAGGUUUAAAUUUUUGUAAAAGACGAGAAGACCCUGCCGAGCUUAAUUAGGUUUAUAAUUUAGUUAUUGUUACUAUUUUGUGGGCUGAAUCUUAGUUGGGGAAAGCUAAACUUAAGAGAACAAGUUUAUAAGAGACAUAGAUCCUCUUUGAGAGAAAAUUGGUAAAAGCUACCGCAGGGAUAACAGCGUAAUUUUUCUUAAGAGAUCUAAUUGAGUGAAAAGUUUGCGACCUCGAUGUUGGAUUAUAAU